GCUGACAGACAGCAAUUCUUGGGGUUUUUGGCUCGAAGAUGCAUCUGUCCCAUCUUCUCCUUCAGCUGCAUGUGGCAUUUUCCUGAUGUUUCUGCGUUUUUACAUGGCUGUCUUCUCAUACAUGAAUCAUCAUGGUUUAGGGACCUACUUACACCGGAGUAUCCUCUGGACCUUCUUCUGUUUAGGGAAUCCAGCUGCUAUACUGUGAAGAUACUUGGACUGCUCACUUGGGGAGAAACUGAGGUCUCUGGCCAACAGCCAAUUAGAAACUGAGGACUACCAAAAAUCAUGUGAGCAAGUGUGGAAGUAGAUCGUCCUCCAAGCCAGCCCUCAGGGGACUGUGGUCCCAACUAACAGCUUGACUGCAAUCUCAUAAGAGACCCUAGGAGACCCAGCUAAGAUGUUCCCAGAUGCCUGCCCCGCCAGAAAAGAGGCAGAGACACGAGGGAGGUACUUUCCAGAGCACAGAAGAAAGGCCAUAUGAGGACACAGAGAGAAGGAAGCAACCUGCAAGCUAGGAAGAGAGCCUCAGAAGAAACCAACCCUGUUG